CGGAGGGUGCGAGCGUUAAUCGGAAUUACUGGGCGUAAAGCGUGCGUAGACGGUUAUUUAAGUCGGGUGUGAAAGCCCCGGGCUCAACCUGGGAAUUGCAUUCGAGACUGAAUAGCUAGGGUACGGUAGAGGGAAGUGGAAUUUCCGGUGUAGCGGUGAAAUGCGUAGAUAUCGGAAGGAACAUCAGUGGCGAAAGCGACUUCCUGGACCAGUACCGACGUUCAGGCACGAAAGCGUGGGGAGCAAACAGGAUUAGAUACCCUGGUAGUCCACGCCAUAAACGAUGAGGACUAGACGUUGGAGGGGUAAGCCUUUCAGUGUCGUAGCUAACGCGCUAAGUCCUCCGCCUGGGGAGUACGGCCGCAAGGUUG
rnacentral:rRNA from 1 species